CACUCUUACACAACCCCAAGCACCCUGACGGACCUCCUGCACCCGCCCCAGCUCGCUUGGACCAUGUCACCGAACCUCACUUUUUUCCACUUUUCCCGACUUAGAAUUUUUUGAGGCUCCUCCUGGUAGGGUGAAGACCAGGAUUUUGAGGAGUUUGACUCGUCAGACGACAAGUUCAGAGUCAACUUACGCACCUGUCCUCC
rnacentral:ribozyme from 1 species